CCCUUAGAUGUUCUGGGCCGCACGCGCGCUACACUGAAGGAAUCAGCACGUCUUUCUCCUUGUCCGAAAGGACUGGGUAACCCGCUGAACCUCCCUCGUGCUAGGGAUUGGGGCUUGUAAUUCUUCCCCAUGAACGAGGAAUUCCCAGUAAGCGCGAGUCAUAAGCUCGCGUUGAUUACGUCCCUGCCCUUUGUACACACCGCCCGUCGCUACUACCGAUUGGAUGGUUUAGUGAGAUCCUCGGAUUGGUCCCGGCGCGGCCUCUGGUCGUGCCGGAGUGCCGAAAAGAAUGUCGAACUUGAUCAUCUAGAGGAAGUAAAAGUCGUAACA
rnacentral:rRNA from 1 species